rnacentral:rRNA from 1 species
UUUGUCUAUUAAUUGUAGACCUGUAUGAAAGGCAACAUGAGAGCCCAACUGUCUCUUAUAACAAAUCAAUUAAACUGAUCCCCUAGUACAAAAGCUAGAAUAUCUACAUAAGACCAGAAGACCCUGUGAAGCUUUAACUAACCUAUUAAACCCUAUAAUAGCUAGUUUCGGUUGGGGCGACCUUGGAACAAAAAAAAACUUCCAAACAUGCAUCUUACCUGCACCAAAGGCCAACAAGCCACAAUUAGACCCAGUUUUAACCUGACAAAUGAACCAAGUUACUCCAGGGAUAACAGCGCUAUCUUCUUCAAGAGCCCAUAUCAAAAAGAAGGUUUACGACCUCGAUGUUGGAUCAGGACAUCCUAGCAAUGCAACCGUUACUAAGGGUUCGUUUGUUCAACGAUUAAUAGU